CAGCAGCAGGCUCAGUGGAGUUCACACGGGGAAUGAGCACUUGACGAAAAACAGGAACCUCCUUAUAUGGUAGUGGUGGGGGGCUACCGGUAGGCCAGCAUGCUCACUGGGAUGGAGUUACAAAAUGUUCCGGAAAGGCAUAGUGGGUGGCAGCAGUGCUGCCCAAUAGCACAAACUGUUACAUUUCUAGAACAAAACAUUCCGUGGGAAAAAAAAAAACACACUGGAGGCAAGGCAAAGGCCUGUCUUACCGUGUAGUGUUACUCUGUCAAUGUAAGAAUUAAAAUGCACCCCCCCACCCCGUGUCUCUCUCUCGCGCUCGCUCGCUCUCUCUCUCUCGCUCUCGCUCUCUCUCUGACUCUGUCGUUCUGAGAGUCUCAUUAUGUUGUCCGGGUUGACCCCGAGCUGGCCUGGAACUCACUACAUUGAGCAUUCAAUCCUCGAACUCGCCAUCUUGCCUCGGGCCCUGCCCAUGGGAUUACAGACGUGCGCCACCACGCCCACUCGGGUUCCACGCACUUGACUCUUGUGGCCAGCCGUCCCCUUCGCCCGCCCCACUUCCUGCUCUCGCGAGGGAUUGUGCCCCCCCCCCCGCCAGGACCACUAAACCCCCCCGCCAGGACCACUAAGGCCCAGUCCUCUCGGUCACCCACCAACCCACCCACGCCUUCCCGAAUCCAGCCUGCAGAGUGGAGGCUCCUACACAGUGGAAGAGGCUGGGAGACCCUACGCGCUUCACCGCAGGCCUGGCUGGAGAAGCAGCCCGGGAAGGUAACGAGGAACCACCCCGCAGGGUGCUGCCCUGAGAGACAAGGGUUGGACUCCUGUUCAGCUGCAGAGUGGGGAAGCGGCCUUGGAACCGAGCAGACCUCACUAAAAGGCAUCACACCUGAGUCGCACGGAACACACCGAAUCAGCCCGCACCCCCACAACGAUCCACUGGACAGCCCCCCAACCCCGCUCCUCUGUACAGCCACCUGGUUCCACAUUACAAAGACGCAGAGGACACCGGACCACCAGACCACAGUACUGAGUCCCGCCGCUCCCGGCCCAGAGGGCAGAGAAGCUCAGAUCGUCCCAGAACCAAUUAAAAACAAAUUAAACGCAAAGGGG
rnacentral:lncRNA from 1 species